rnacentral:rRNA from 1 species
AGUGAACGCUGGCGGUAGGCCUAACACAUGCAAGUCGAACGGCAGCACAGUAAGAGCUUGCUCUUACGGGUGGCGAGUGGCGGACGGGUGAGGAAUACAUCGGAAUCUACUUUUUCGUGGGGGAUAACGUAGGGAAACUUACGCUAAUACCGCAUACGACCUACGGGUGAAAGCAGGGGAUCUUCGGGCCUGGCGCGAUUGAAUGAGCCGAUGUCGGAUUAGCUAGUUGGCGGGGUAAAGGCCCACCAAGGCGACGAUCCGUAGCUGGUCUGAGAGGAUGAUCAGCCACACUGGAGCUGAGACACGGACCAGACUCCUACGGGAGGCAGCAGUGGGGAAUAUUGGAGAAUGGGCGGAAGCCUGAUCCAGCCAUACCGCGUGGGUGAAGAAGGCCUUCGGGUUGUAAAGCCCUUUUGUUGGGAAAGAAAAGCAGCAGGUUAAUACCCCGCUGUUCUGACGGUACCCAAAGAAUAAGCACCGGCUAACUUCGU